UACGGAGGAUGCGAGCGUUAUCCGGAUUUAUUGGGUUUAAAGGGUGCGUAGGCGGCCGAGUAAGUCAGCGGUGAAAUUUUGCAGCUUAACUGUAACAGUGCCGUUGAUACUGCAUGGCUAGGAUUUGGUUGCUGUGGGUGGAAUUCCUGGUGUAGCGGUGGAAUGCGCAGAGAUCAGGAGGAAUACCGAAGGCGAAGGCAGUCUUCCAAGCCGUUAUUGACGCUCAACUGCGAAGGUGUGGGUAUCAAACAGGAUUAGA
rnacentral:rRNA from 1 species